GGGCAGGCGGAAGGUAGUGGCUUUGCGUAUAUUGACUAUGCGCAGGGAGGAAAGUCCGGGCUCCAAAGUGGCAAGCGUAGCGGGUAAUUCCCGUCGCCUAAGCUAAUUGCUUGGGAAGGAUUAGAGCUACAGAGACGAGACCAAUUUUUGCUAAACAAGAAUUGGGGUGAAACGAGCAAUCUCUACGCGGAGUAAGGCCGAAUAGGAAACGAGGAACUUUGCCCGUUCCGUUAUUAGUUUCGGGUUGGCUGCUGGAGCCGCUAAAGUAAUUUAGCGGAUAAGAGGAAUGCUACCAAAUACAGAACUCGGCUUAUUCUGCCUGUCCUAAA
rnacentral:RNase_P_RNA from 1 species